UUCUAACCAUCCGAUCAAAUGAUCGGACGGUCUGAAGUUAAGUCAACAAAUCAAGCCCAAGACACAACUUUUCUUACUCCCAAGAAAUCAGAACCACAGUGCCUUUCCCAUUCCCUCAAUCACGAUCAACUUUUCUCUCAAAAAAAAAAAAGGAAAAGGAACCGCGAGCCACCCCGCUCCUCCUCUCUCCCUCACCUCUCUCCUCCAACCACUCCCCUGUGCGACCAUUCCCCACACCAAAAAUCCGCGAGAACAGUGGUGUCAGCACAAUUUCGGGGAUAAGGGAUGCAAAAUUUUUCAAACUUACCAUCAAUUCUGAAAAGUGAGAAAUUAGGAUUCAAAAUUCAAAUUCUUUGUUUUCCCCUACUUAUUCAAAAUUCAAAUUCAUUAUUCAUUGACGGAAAAGGUUGGAAAAUUUGGGGAGAGCAGGGGAGGAACAAGUGAAAACACAGAGGAAAAAAGGGGUCUCAAAAAAUUCAUAAAUUUCCUUUCGAUAUCAGUCCAAAUUCGGCGUCCUCGGAGUCGAUUUCGUCGUUUUGUAAUUCUUAAACGUCAAAAGCCCAGUUUUGCUGCCCCACACAAGACUGUGGAACAAACUCGGUGGAGCUUUGCGUUUCAGGACAUGCUUGAUAGGUUGUUUGGGGUCAUUUUGAUGUCGGUUUAGAUUUUUAACGGGGUAAUGAUGGCUUGACGGUACACUAGUUUGGUUUGUGUAUUCGUAAGUUAACGGCAUGGAAAAGAGCUCCGAAAGGCUCGAAACUUCACAGAUAUGUGGCUGUCCAUCACGGUAUUUUGCACUUUUCCUUUUCGAUUUGAACACUUGAAUGAUGAAUUAAUUACUGUUCAUCUCGGGCUAGCCAUCUAUUCAAACAAGAUUCUCCAUUUCUAACCUGGCACGAGAAGGCCUUAUAAGAGCGAUCAACUACAUGUUCUUGAGUUCAUUGUUUCCUUUGGUUUCACGAUGUGAAUAUGGAUGUAGUAAUUUAAGCGUCAAAUGUGUUUAAAUAAGUGUGAGUUUGUAUUGUUUCAUGACCCCUGCCCAUCUAGAUAUUCUAUUAUGUGUUUCAAUAUUGGGAAAAGUUCAAACCAUCCAAUAAGUGUAGUUCGAAGAUUUCAUGGUAAAGUAGUUCUAGGCAGAAACGAUGGGGUGUCGAAGUGUGGUUGUUCUCUUGUCAUAGCUGAGCAUGUAUUACUUUCAGUUGUCGCAGAUAAUUCUUUUAUGAACUUCCCUCUUUGUCUUGUUAAUCUCCAUCUGCCUUCUGUUCAUUUUAUUUUGACAUGUAGAUAGUGCGAAUUGGUUUCAAAUGUUUGAAGUUCUGAUAAUGUGAAAUAUUCUGUGUGCAAGUGUCAAAGUAUGUAAGACAUGAGAUGUAUGUGAUUUUUCAUGGAUUUAGGUUUGUCUCGACCUUGGACCCAUGAGCAAACAUGAAUUUGAUUUCUGGAAGACUGUUUUGUGUACAUAUGCGUUGUCCACAAGUUUGUUAGACAUGAAUCUGAUUUUGGCUUAAAUUAGGUAGAAAUAUUAUUGUCCGUUCUUCCGAAAUCAAGCCCAGAAUAUGAUCCUUCGUCUAUUUAUCUCAGUUGCUGACUGUUUUAGUUCAAGUUGUCUAAAACUCGAUAACUCGUUCUUGUCCUUCGUCCCAUGUUGUCUUUCUGAUAAUGUGAAGUAAACAAAUUUGCAAUUGGUGUUUAUAUAUACCAUUUGUAUUGUUUGUUUUAUAAGGAUAUAAUUAGUUACUUAGGAAUUUCUCUGGCAUGUUUCAUGGGGCAAUUUAAAUACAAAAGGAUUAGUCACAAGAAUUAUUUUGAAAAGAAAUGUGUUCUUCCUCUCUACUUUGUUCAAAUGUUUGACCAUGUUUCUCCUAGGCCAGAUUCUCAUUAAUGAUUUUAUUUCUUCUCUCUGAAUUUCUUUUCGUGAUUAGAGAUCCAACUUGACUUAAUUUACAUUGUCAUACUUUUGUUCUCUGGUAGGCUUUUUUAUAUAGCUUGGAAUUGCUAUUUCCUUAGAAUGGGAUUAUAAUCUUGAGACUUAGUGGUGGUGUUCCACUUUUUUUCAUAUCACUCAGUGUUCUCAAUGUCAAAACCUUGAUACAUACAUUCCUCCAAUAUGUAUUGUUUAAAAUUCAAUUUUCUUGUCUUCGUGAUAGAUGGUUUUAUCUGCAAAAUUAGCAUCUCAUGGAUCGUUAAUGGUCGGGUUGAAAAGAUGCAACUUUAAUUUAAAGUUGCUUACUCCACUUACCUCUUUCCUCAAUUCUUACUCUAAUAUGACCAAGGAAUCUUUUAAAUUCAAAGUGUCUUGCUAUGUGUACGUUGCACCACGAGAAGUUGAGAAAUGAAAAGGGUAAAGAUUAUUCAAAACAACCAAUCCUCCCCUCCAUGGUUCUCUAGUCUUGAUUUUUUUGCUCUAGGAAUUUCUUAGAAAUUGCUUAGCUGAUUCACUACGAAUAAAUUGGAAUAACAUGCCUUGAUUUCUUUUCAAAAGAAGUUAAAUUCAAAUUCCAAAUUUUCUUUUUUUUCUCUUAAAUUUUUUAUGUGUUGGCCAUCCACUAUGAAUUUGGUGCACUAAUGUGCCUCAUGUUGGGGUUCUACGAUAAUUACACUCUAGAAUAAUACAUCUUGGUCUUAGAAAUAUGGUUGUGGGGGGGGGGGGGGGUUCCUUGCCCUCCUAAUGUCCUUUGAUUGGUUAACGGAUAUUGAACUCUCUGCUAAUUUCUAAUUUUGAUUACUUGAAAUAUGACUAUUGGCAUGCCUUUGUUAAUUUACUUCUACAUUUCUUACAUAAUUCCACUACUCUUGAACGUACAUUUCCUAAAUAAAAUCCUCAUACAUUAAAAUGCUUUUUUUACUCUAUAAUAAUUUAGUUAUUUACUUAACUCUGCAUAUUUUAAAUUUUCUUAAAAAUUAUAAGACUUCUCAUUUUUCUAAAUGUAUGUAUAAAUUAUAUCACCCUUUUUCACAUUUACAACACAAGUAUAUUUUUGUAAUAAUUAUACGAUUUUCGUGUACAUGGUAGCAUCAUGUUUGUUAUACCUUUGUUUUCUUUCUUUUAUCUAAAACAACAAGUAGAAAAUAAUGAUGAAAGUUUUCUUCUCACCAUUUUAGCAAAUAACAAAAUAAUUUUUUUUUUUCAAAUAUUUUUCCUAAACUAAGUGUAACGACUUCCCCUCGAGUAACCAAAACCCUUACUUAGAAUCUCAAGAAGAUUUCGAAAGACCAAAAUAGAGUUUUACAAAUAAAAAAUAGUUUUCCUAAUUUUUCUAAAAAGUUAGGUGACGACUCUAAAAAAAAUAAUUUGUCAAGAUCCAAGAGUCACAACCCUGUGCCACCAUAUGUUGUAUGCUGUUUCGACCGAUUCGAAAUGGGGCACGACAGUGAUCUUACAGAUGAAGUUACAUGGAUUUGCCUCAAGUAUUGCUAGUCAGGGGGAGAAUACAGUGUGUAUACUGCUCAAAUCCCUAUAUGGAUUACAAGAAACACCUAGGCGAUGGAAUACAAAGGUAUCAAAAGUGUUACUAGGAUCUCAGUUUAUUCAAAGUCAGCAUAAUCAAUCUUUAUACAUUAGAAAGACAUCAAAAGGAAUUACUCUUGUACUUAUAUAUGUUGAGAACAUGUUGACCACUGGUGAUAGUCAAAAAUUAAUAGAGGAAACAAUGGAAACUCUACAGAAGAAUUUCAAAAUGAAAGAUCUAGGUGAACUAAGGUUUUUACUUGACAUAGAAUUUGCAAGAUCUAACAAAGGAAUAUUAAUGCUUCGAGGAAGUAUGCGUUAGAAUUACUAUCUGACUUAUGGCUAAGAGUGGCUAAACUAGUUGCCACUCUUAUGGACUACAAUGCCGAACUAACUUCUAAACAGUCUCAUGAUCAUAUCAAGCAAGUGCAACCUACUGAUGAUCCACCAACAAAUCAAUCUACAUAUUAGAAGUUGAUUGGCAAACUACUGUAUUUGACUAUGACAAGGCCUAAUAUUGUUUUCAGUGUCCAAAAUUAUGUCAGUUUCUUCAAGAUCUUAAGAAAUCUCAAAUGGAGGUUGCACUUAGAGUUGUGAGAUAUGUCAAGAAUCAGCCAAGCCAGGGUGUGUUGUUAUCAGUGAUUCAAAUGAUCAAGCGCCGAAAAUUUUUAGUAUGGGUCAGGAGUACCAUGUCAUAGUUUUGGGAGCAUAUUUUUUAACUAAAAAAAUCAGUGGGCCCCAUAUUUUUAAUUACUAGUCAAUUUAUAUUCACAUUCACCCAUCCCCACCCUCACCCCUUUCUUCCUUCUUUCCCUUCUAUUUUUUCUUCUCCUCUCUCCUUUUUCACUCGUUUCAUCACUAUUCGUCCAGAUUUGGGGCUUCACCUACAUCUUGAUUCCUUGAAUCUUUAGAAUGUAAUCAACUCAUGGUUACAACUGAUGUAAAAUUUAAAUGAAUAUUUUUUUGUAUGUCAUGUAAACAUGUUUUGUGGUAGUUUUUCCUA